rnacentral:rRNA from 1 species
GGAGCAAUCCUGGUGGCGAGUGGCGAACGGGUGAGUAAUGUAUCGGAACGUACCUUUCAGUGGGGGAUAACGUAGCGAAAGUUAUGCUAAUACCGCAUAUUCUGUGAGCAGGAAAGCAGGGGAUCGCAAGACCUUGCGCUGAUUGAGCGGCCGAUAUCAGAUUAGCUAGUUGGUGAGGUAAAGGCUCACCAAGGCGACGAUCUGUAGCGGGUCUGAGAGGAUGAUCCGCCACACUGGAACUGAGACACGGUCCAGACUCCUACGGGAGGCAGCAGUGGGGAAUUUUGGACAAUGGGCGCAAGCCUGAUCCAGCCAUGCCGCGUGAGUGAAGAAGGCCUUCGGGUUGUAAAGCUCUUUCAGCCGGGAAGAAAACGCAUGGGUUAAUACCCUGUGUGGAUGACAGUACCGGAAUAAGAAGCACCGGCUAACUACGUGCCAGCAGCCGCGGUAAUACGUAGGGUGCGAGCGUUAAUCGGAAUUACUGGGCGUAAAGCGUGCGCAGGCGGUUUGUUAAGAUAGGCGUGAAAUCCCCGGGCUCAACCUGGGAACUGCGUUUAUGACUGGCAGGCUAGAGUAUGGCAGAGGGGGGUGGAAUUCCACGUGUAGCAGUGAAAUGCGUAGAGAUGUGGAGGAACACCGAUGGCGAAGGCAGCCCCCUGGGCCAAUACUGACGCUCAUGCACGAAAGCGUGGGUAGCAAACAGGAUUAGAUACCCUGGUAGUCCACGCCCUAAACGAUGUCAACUAGGUGUUGGGUGGGUAAAACCAUUUAGUACCGGAGCUAACGCGUGAAGUUGACCGCCUGGGGAGUACGGCCGCAAGGUUAAAACUCAAAGGAAUUGACGGGGACCCGCACAAGCGGUGGAUGAUGUGGAUUAAUUCGAUCAACGCGAAAAACCUUACCUACCCUUGACAUGUCCGGAAGCCCUUAGAGAUUUGGGUGUGCUCGAAAGAGAGCCGGAACACAGGUGCUGCAUGGCUGUCGUCAGCUCGUGUCGUGAGAUGUUGGGUUAAGUCCCGCAACGAGCGCAACCCUUGUCGUUAAUUGCCAUCAUUUAGUUGGGCACUUUAACGAGACUGCCGGUGACAAACCGGAGGAAGGUGGGGAUGACGUCAAGUCCUCAUGGCCCUUAUGGGUAGGGCUUCACACGUCAUACAAUGGUCGGUACAAAGGGUUGCCAACCCGCGAGGGGGAGCUAAUCCCAGAAAGCCGAUCGUAGUCCGGAUCGUAGGCUGCAACUCGCCUGCGUGAAGUCGGAAUCGCUAGUAAUCGUGGAUCAGCAUGUCACGGUGAAUACGUUCCCGGGUCUUGUACACACCGCCCGUCACACCAUGGGAGCGGGUUCCGCCAGAAGUAGGUAGCCUAACCGCAAGGAGGGCGCUUACCACGGCGGGGUUCGUGACUGGGGUGAAGUCGAAACAAGGUA